CGUGUAGGCGGAUGCGUAAGUCCGGUGUAAGAGCCCCCGGCUCAACCGGGGAAAGCCAUCGGAUACUGCGUGUCUUGAGUGCGGGAGGGGAGAGUGGAACUCUUGGUGGAGCGGUGAAAUGCGUAGAUAUCAAGAGGAACGCCGGUGGCGAAAGCGGCUCUCUGGCCCGUGACUGACGCUGAGGCGCGAAAGCUAGGGGAGCAAACGGGAUUAGAUACCCCGGUAGUCCUAGCCCUAAACGAUGGGUACUAAGUAGGGGCGACUCCGAUGUUGUCUCUGCUGUAGCCAACGUGCUAAGUACCCCGCCUGGGGAGUACGGUCGCAAGGCUGAA
rnacentral:rRNA from 1 species